rnacentral:lncRNA from 1 species
AAGUUUCGAGUUUUUGGGACUUUUCUAUUGCCUGCUUUCUACUCAAAAUCCUUCUGACCAUUUUCCAUGGCCUCCCACUUUCUGGUUCGUUUCAUCAUCUUGACGCUUAAACAUAAUCUUCGCUUUUUUAAGAGUAAAUGGCUUAUACAUACUCUGUUUUCUUUUAAGAGAAAUCUACUUAUGAGGCUUAAACGACUUCCCUUUAACCCUAUUAGGCUCAGUUUACCCAAGUGCUGAACAUUAAUAAUAGCAUUUUCGCUGCGGCGAACUCAAUAGUAGUACACAUGAUUCCUCUUAAAAGGGAGACUUAAAUUUACUGUUCAUAAUUGUCACAUCACUUUUAACAUUUAGCCGGUUUCAAAUUGGUUUGGGUUUUUGGUUUUUUUGUUUUUAAUUGCAAUCUCAAAUCUAGACACUUCAACCGCCCACUUCUCCAAUUCAUUUCUACUAUUAUUCCAGUAUUUUUAUCCAAGAAUUCUCUUCUUCACAAAGAGGUCCACAAAUUCCAACUUUGUGUUUACAGCUUUUUUUGUCUCUUCGAUCUUUACCAGUAGUUUUCUUCCAACCAUACACCUCCUUGCCGGAAGCUACAGAUCAGAACCGAAACUUGAGGCAACCGACGAGUGUUCAUAGUCCGAUUUUAUUGCCGUUUUUGGUUUUGGGACCGAAGCAAAGCAACCCUACCGCCUUGGGUAUGCUACUUUUGUUAUUUUUCCAUUAAAAUAAUGUAGUUUCAUUUAUUCAUCUUAUUAGUUUCUUAUCAAGAGGCACUUGUUCGUUAAAUUUUUGUUAUUUUUCUUGGUUUUUGUUUAAUUUUUUCGCAGGAGCAGGCCUUUAUAUGGGAUAAAGAAGGUAACUCCUUUUCAUUUCUUUUUCUUGUUUGAAGUAUGUCUCUAAUACUUUGUGUUGCUUAUUAUACACUCGAGUAGAAAAGGGCUUUUUUGUGUUGGGGUGGGGAUGGUUGUGGGCAAAGAUUUCUUAUCCCAAAAAUAAUUUUUGGGUAAUGCUAAUAAUAGAGAGCAAUUGAAAUUUGUUGAAAAUUGAUCAAUAAGGGUAUGAAUCAUAUUAGCAUUACUGCCUAUUAUCACCAUAUCAUCAACGUAAAACAGCAAAUAGAUGACACCAUGAGAGCCAUUAUAAACAAAUAGGAAUGAGUCAGCCUGACUAGCAACAAAGUCAAGGCUGAACAAAGAGAAGCUGAACCUUUGAAACCAUGCCCUUGGAGCCUGUUUAAGAUCAUAGAGAGCUCGCUGCAUGCGACAUACAUGAGUGGGUAUUGUCGUAUUGAGAAUUAACAUAACCUGGAGGUUGUUCUUUUUUCUUCUUUUGAAAGAUGGCCAUGCAAGAUAACAUUUUUAAUGUCAAGCUGGUGAAGAUGCCAAUUGUGCAUAGCAGUAGAAGAAAGGAUUAUUUGAACUGUGGCACGACGAACAAUCGGACUGAAAAUCUUUUCAAAGUUGAUGUCAUGUUUUUGAUAAAAUCUCUGUGCUACUGGACGAGCUUUAUGAUGUUCUAUAGUACCAUCUGCAUGAAAUUUAAUUUUAAAAAUCCAAUGACAACCCACAACAUUAUGAAUAGAAGGUCAAGGUACCAGUCGCCAAGUGUUAUUUUGCCUGAGAGCUACUAUUUCAUUAUCUAUUGUAGUAAGCCAUUCCUGAUGUUUUAAGGCUGAUUUAAAAUCCCGUAGCUCUUUAAUAGCAAGAUGUAUCUGAAACCAUGGAGGAGAUGACAAAGUAAUUAAGGAAUGAAUAUUAACAAGCUUAACAAUAUCAUUCCUUAUAUGAGUAAUCAUAGGAUGUGGAGUUGGUGGCGAUAUAAUGAGGAAGAAUUAAGUGGAAUGACAUCUGAAGCAGUCAGAGACUCGGACGGAGGAACGUCAGAUGCUGCUGAAGGAUGCACAGAAUCGAGAAGAAGAUAAAACGUACAAUCAUGGUUAGCACAUGGGAUACACUGAGAAAAUGCCUUGUGAUACUUCGAAGUCAUAUCUGGGGGUGCAUUUUGUGCACAAUACAAAGAAUGAUUAAUAGGAUCAAAAAAAGGGGACACAAUUAGUGAAAACAUGAGAUGGAAGAGUGGAGUAUUUGUAAGGAAAAUGAUCCUUAAAAAAUUGCACAUGACGAGGGAUAUAAAUAUGGUAAGAUUUUGUAUCUAAACAAUGAGAACAUUUUGCAGUGAACUGUAGCCUAAAAAUACGCAUGGGAAAGUAGAGAGUUGUGAGGAAUAUAGUCACGAAGAAAAGGAAAACAUAAAUAUCCAAAAGUUUGGAGAGAGGAGUAAGAAUGAACUUUAUCAUACAAUACUUCAUGAGGUGUCUUGCCACCAAGAAUCGGUGAUGGGAGCCGAUUGAUGAGAUAACAAGCUGUAGAGAAAGACUCAACCCACAAUUUUAAAGGAACAUGAGAAUGAAAGAGCAAGAUGAGUCUGGUUUCACUGAUAUGCCUAUGUUUACGCUCGGCAAUGCCAUUUUCCUUUGGGUGUAAGGAUAACAUAUGCGUUGAACUAUAUCACAUCAUGAAGAUAAGAAGUGAAUUUGUUAUUUGUGAACUCUAUUCCAUAAUUACAUUAGAAUGAUUUUAUGCUCCUAUCAAAUUGGUUUUUGACACAAAUGACAAAACGAACAAAAAUAUCAAAGAAAUAUGAUUUGAACUUGAGAGAAAAAUGUUGGAUAAUUUAGUUCUUUAAAUUACCGGAUCUUUCAUGUCAAAUCAUCAAGAAAUAUAAGAAUUAAAGCGGAAGCAUACCUGAAUCAGAUAUGGUUAAUGCAAUAGGAAUUUCGCGGUAUGGUCUUCCAAAUCUACACGCAGUCUCAUUUUCCUCUCUGUGAUGGGAUGCAGUAGAGAAUGAAUAAUACGUUGCCUGUGAUCUGGGGACCAUAACCUAUUUAUAUAGGGAUAUCCUUUGACCUAAUUUGGCCAUCAUAGAAUUAGGAUUUGGGCCCAGUCUCUACACAUAUGUAAAUCCAUACUUUAAUUGGAUACAUUAAAGCCAAAAAUCGAAGCCUUUUUUAGAUCACUUUAAUUGGGCUCAACCGAAUUCGAUAGCCUAUAAUUUAACACACAAUUAUUCACACAUACAAGUCCAUAUUUAAUUAAAAAUCCUUACAAUCUCCCACUUGGGCUGGUGGAUCUCCUUCUAUCUUGGCAUCCUGCGAAAUCGAAAUCAGAAUAACCAAUGAUCUCCAACUUAUCUGAUCUCCUGUAUGUGAGCAUGUAGUCUUUUGUUCUCUGUAAAUACCGCAUGACCCGUUAGGCUGCUUUCCAAUGAUCCAUUCCCGGGUUACUUAAAUAUCUCCCUAGCAUCCCAACGAUGUACGCUAUAUUCAGACGCGUACAAACUUGAGCAUACAUCAGACUCCCUAUAGCUGAGGAAUAAGGAAUCUUCUGCAUUUCUUUAAUUUCUGAGUCAUUUUUAGGGCACUGACUUAAGCUGAACUUGUCUCCUUUAGCCACAGGAGUGUCACAUGGUUUACAAUUUUGCAUGCUAUAUCUUUGAAGUACCUUUUCGAUACAGCUCUUUUGUGAUAACCCAAGAAUGCCUUGAGAACGAUCUUGGUGUAUCUGAAUUCCUAAUACAAAAGAGGCAUCACCAAGAUCUUUCAUCUCAAAAUUCUUUGCUAGAAAUCUCUUGGUUUCAUGCAAUAUGCCAUCGACAUAUAAAACCAGAAAAAUAUAUUUGCUCCCACUGAACUUGUGGUAUAUACAAUCAUCAACCAAAUUCAUCUCAAAAUCAAAUAAGAUGAUCACAUGAUGAAACUUGUAAUACCAUUGACGAGAUGCAUGUUUGAGUCCAUAGAUGGAUUUCUUUAAUUUACAAACCAUUUGCUUUGCAUCGUCCGAUACAAAGUUUUCUGGUUUACCAUAUAAAUUGUUUCAUCAAUGUCACCAUUGAGAAACGCUGUCUUAACAUCCAUCUGAUGUAACUCAAGAUCGAAAUGCGCUACCAAUGCCAUUAUAGUCCUGAAAGAGUCUUUCGAAGAAAUCGGAGAGAAAGUCUCGUUAUAAUCGAUGCCUUCUUUCUGUGUAAAGCCUUUUGCGACAAGACGAGCUUUAUACCUCUCUACAUCACCUUUCGAAUCCCUCUUGGUCUUAAAUAUCCAUUUGCAACCAAUGGGUUUCGCACCUUCAGGCAAUGGAACGAGGUCCCAUACGUCAUUGUUCUUCAUGGACUUUAUCUCUUCAUUCAUAGUAUCGAGCCACUUUUGAGAGUUAGAACUUUCCAUGGCUUGACGGAAGUUGAUCGGAUCAUCUUCCACCAUUCCAACGUCAAUUUCAUGUUCUUGAAGAAAUACGAUGUAAUCAUUCGAAACUGCACUUCUCCUCUCUCUAAUGGAUCUUCUUAAUGGCAUUGGUUCUUGAGGGUGUAGAGUUUGUUCUUCUGGAACAAUUUGUUGAUCUUGGAAGGGAGGUAUGACAUUGUCUUAGUCCAGAGUUGUUUCUUGAACAAUAUUAGGGAUAGAAACCUGAUCAUUGUCAAUGACAAUUGGAGGAAUUUCAACAUAUUCCUCCUCAAAGAAAAAGCCUGUAACCUUUUCUCCCCCCGCAAACUCAAUAUCCUAAAAAAACCUAGCAUUUCCUAUCUUGAAAAUUGCCUUAGUUGUGGGAUCAUAAAAUUUGUAACCCCUGGACCUUUCAAAAUAUCCAAUGAAAUAGCAACUGAUGGUCCUUGUGUCCAGUUUCUUUUCAUUUGGCUUAUAGGGCCUUGCCUCAGUUGGACACCCCCAAAUAUGUAUAUGCUUCAAACUAGGCUUCUUGCCCGUCCAAAACUCAUAUGGGGUUUUAUCAGUGGCCUUAGUUGGAACUCUAUUGAGUAUAUAAGUUGCAGUCUUUAAUGCUUCACCCCAGAGAGAUUCUGGUAAGGUAGAAUGACUAGUCAUACUCCUCACCAUGUCCUUAAGCGUUCCGUUUCGUCUUUCAGCAACACCAUUCAUAGUGGGCGAACUCGGCAUAGUGUACUGUGGGACGAUACAACAUUCCUCUAGGAAUUUAGCAAACGGUCCUGGACGCUAUUCACCUGAACCGUUAUAUCUGCCAUAGUAUUCACCCCCACGGUCAGAUCUGACGCUUUUAAGCCUUUUGCCGAGUUGGUUCUCAACUUCAGCUUUAUAGUUUUUGAACACAUCCAGUUACUGUGAUUUUUCAUGAACGAGAUAUAUGUAGCCAUAUCUUGAAAAGUCGUCUAUGAACGUUAUAAAAUAUUGUUGACCAUUCCAAGAACUCGUAGGGACUGGUCCACAAAUAUCCGUAUGUAUAAGUUCUAAGACGUCCGAAAUCCUAUUGGCUUGAAAUCUCAUUUUAUUGGUUUGUUUUCCCUUUAUACAGUUGACACACAAAUCAUAAUAUGUGAAGUCAAGAGGGACGAGAAUCCCGUCAAACACAAGUCUCUCAAUUCUCCUUUUGGAGAUGUGACCUAAUCUCUUGUGUCACAACGAGGCAGAAUUCUCGUCGUUUAAUUUUCGCUUCACACCUCGAGUACUUACAUGCAAGGUUUCAUUAUAAGAAACAAUUGUAUCAAUUGAAUAAAGAUUAUCGUAACCUGAUAAAGAACUGGAACCAACCAAUUUUGAAUCAUGAAACAAACUAAAUUUUUCAUUUCCAAAAGAAUAAGUAUAACCAAAUUUGUCUAAAACAAAAAUAGAAAUCAAAUUCUGUCUAAAAGACGAUACAAUAAAUGUCUCAACAAGAUCCAAAUAAAAUCCAUUCUUUAACAAUAAUCUAAAUUUUCCUAUUGCCUCUACUUUCAUUCUAUUGCCGUCACCAGCAUAGAUGUAUCUUUCACCAUCACUUGAUUUUCGGCAACUCAGGCAAUCUUGCAUAGACAUACUGAUGUGAGUUAUUGCACCAGAAUCUAUCCACCGUGUAUGUCUAGGUACCGAAGUUAAAUUAACCUCAGAACAAACCAAAUGAAGAAGAGUACCUUUCUUUACACGCCAUGCGUGGUAAUUGGUGCAAUUCUUCUUCUUAUGACCUGCAGCUCCACAGAAGAAACAACCGCCUUCAGUUGGUUCCUUAUACUGUUUCUUUUGUGGUGUCGUACCCGCAGCUUCCUUAUUAAUCUUCAUUUUCUUGUUGCUUUUAUCCUUAGAGGUGGUGGCUAAAUAAACACUUUCUGUCUUUUCAUGCUUCAGUCUUUCUUCUUUCUGGACACAGUGUGAGAUGAGCUCAUUAAGGGACCAUGAGUCCUUUUGACAGUUAUAGCUCACCUUGAAUUGACUGAAAUUUGCCGGAAGGGAUACCAGAACCAAGUGCACCAACAAGUCUUCAGAUAAAUUUAACUUGAGUGCCUUUAGUUUUGAAGCAAUGUGAGACAUUUCCAUAAUGUACUCCCGAAUGUUUCCUUUCCCUUUAUACCUCAUUGAGACAAGAUUUGCCAAAAGUGUACUUGUUUUAGCCUUUUCAUUCUUGGCAAACCUCUUCUCAAGGUCCUCAAAGAAACCCUUAGCCGUAGUCACCUUAUCGGACAUAGUGCCCCGGAAUACUUCUCGAAUAGCACGCUUCAUGACCAUUAAGCUUAUGCGGUUCGAUCGUUCCCACUUUUUCAUCUCCCGCUUGUCAUCAGAGGUACUCUUAUCAGUAAGUGCAGUAGGUUGAUCGACCCGUAAAGUAAGGUCUAGGUCCAUGACUCCGAGACCAAUCAUAACGUUCUCUUGCCAUGCCCUGAACUUUGUGCCAUUUAACAUUAGAAUAGAAUUGAUGCUAGCAGAGAUAUUAAUAGCAGAACCUGAAAUUGAAUUAGAGAACAUUUAUUAUGAAUAGCUCACAUAAUAUCUUUAAUAUGCAAAUAAUAAUAAUCUCAAAUAGUGGUAGGGCCCAUCACAAGAUACCAAGCACAACAUCAAUAUCCAGUCUUUGGAUAAAAAAAUUGACUUGUAAGCGGCACUCUUGGUGUAGUGAUCAAACAUUGACGAUAAAACAAUGUGUCAAUCAAUAAACCUUUCUUUGGACCGAUUUAUUGAUGACACAUUAAACCAAAUAAUCGUCACACGUUUAUCACCACAGGUGCACGUGUAUUCGGCUAAAUAUUGACCUUUCUUUGGGCCGAUCAAUAUUCCGAUGAAUAACACAUGCACAAACACUUUUUAACAUUCUAAGUUAGUCAAUUUUCACAAGAGAGGUUGCUUUGGCAACAUGCUGCUUCAAUUAACUAACUUUCGAAUAUUAUAUCUCUUAAAAGAGUUUUUAGUACCAAAAUUUGAGCAAGAGAAUCACCAAUUUUGCAUAUUUUGAUUAGUUUUAAACUUUAGGGGCCUUAGGAUUAAUAAUUCAAAACUUUAGGGGGGCAAAAUUAAUUAAUUCCAAACUUUAGGGGUUGAAAUUAAUGAACUUGAAACUUUAGGGACCAAAAUUAAUUAAUUCAAUACUUUAGAGGAUCAAUUAAAACAAAUUUUAAAACUUUAGGGGCCAAAAUUGACCAAUUCAAAACUUGAGGGAUCAAAUUUUAAAAAUUUGAAACUUUAGGGGUCAAUUUGAAUUAAUUAUGAACUUAGGGGGCAAAUUUGAACUAGUAAUUAAAGUUUGAGGGCUUUAAUUAUAAAUUCAGAACUUUAAUGGUCCGAAUUAAUUAAUUUUAAAUCUUAGGGACUGAAUUAUUAAAUCUGAAACUUAAAGGCCCAAAUCUCAAUAUAACUUAAAGGUUAGGGACUGAAACCUUAAAUUUAUAACCCUAACCCUAAUUGCAACCAGGGGCCUCAACUUAUCUAAUUUACAGAAGAGGCCCUCGUCCCAAAAUUCAGCCAAAAAACCAGAAAACCCUAAAAGAAAAAUUUUUCUUCUUUUUGGCGCCCGUCGGCGUCGCCUGAAGCAAUGGCGCCGGCGUGGGCGCCACAGCAUCUGUGGCGGCAAGGCCGUCGGCGAAUUCAAUUUUUUUUUUUUAAAUCUGUACUAAAAUCUGAAUUCCAAAUCUGAAUUUUCUAAACUGAAUCAAUCCGAAUGAAAAUAACAAAAUUAUACCGCAAAAAUUUUCAAAUUUAACAAAACAUAUAAUCAAAAAUUGUUAAAUCUGAAAAUUUCAAAAUAUAUUGCAAGAACCAAACUAAGCAUACCUGAAUCAGACAUGGUUAAUGCAAUAGGAAUGUCGCGGAAUGGUCUUCCAAAUCUACACGCAGUCUCCUUUUCUUCUCUGUGAUGGGAUGCAGUAGAAAAUGAAUAAUACGUUGCCUGUGAUUUGGAGACCAAAACCUAUUUAUAUAGGGAUUCCCUUUGACCUAAUUCGGCCCAUCAUAGAAUUAGGAUUUGGGCCCGGUCUCUACACAUAUGUAAACUCAUACUUUAAUUGGAUACAUUAAAGCCAAAAAUCGAAGCCUUUUUUAGAUCACUUUAAUUGGGUUCAACCGAAUUCGAUAGCCUAUAAUUUAACACAUACCUGAAUCAGACAUGGUUAAUACAAUAGGAAUUUCGCGAAAUGGUCUUCCAAAUCUACACGCAGUCUCCUUUUCUUCUCUGUGAUGGGAUGCAGUAGAAAAUGAAUAAUACGUUGCCUGUGAUCUGGAGACCAAAACUUAUUUAUAUAGGGAUGCCCUUUGACCUAAUUCGGCCCAUCAUAGAAUUAGGAUUUGGGCUCGGUCUCUACACAUAUGUAAACCCAUACUUUAAUUGGAUACAUUAAAGCCAAAAAUCGAAGCCUUUUUUAGAUCACUUUAAUUGGGUUCAACCGAAUUCGAUAGCCUAUAAUUUAACGCACAAUUAUUCACACAUACAAGUCCAUAUUUAAUUAAAAAUCCUUACAAAAAAAUCCAACUAAAAUGAGAGAUCAUCAAUCAAGACAUAAUAACAUUUAAAUCUUGACGGAGAUGUAAUUGUAGACGAACCCCACAAGUCAUGAUGAUGUCUUUCAAAUAAAAAAGAGCAAUGUUAAUCUAAAUUAGAAAAAACCAAAACAAGGAUCAAUAUUAAACUCGUUCUUAUUAGAAAAUAAAAUAGCACCAUGCUUAUGUAAAGAUGACAAAAUCCUAAUAGAAGGAAGUCCUAAACGUGCAUGCCAAAUGACAGAGGUGGCACAAUUAUAACAAAGAGCAGCAGAAGACAAAAAGUUUGCAUGGGCAUGAUCAAGCACAUGGAGGCCUUUUUCACAUCAAUCUUCCCACCACCGCUCUUUUUGCCAGAGCCUGUAUAACAAAGCCAGUAGAAGAAAGUGUUAUUGGAAAAUUGUUCUCUUGAGUAAACUUAAUGAUGAAAAUAAGAUUUUUGGUAAUGCCAGGAACAAGAAGAACAUUAGUCAUAGGUAACGAAUGGGAAGCAACAAUAGACCAAAUAGACUCAACAAGAGAUAUAGGUAAAGAAUGACCAUUACCAACAAACACCUUUUCAAUACCAUUGUAAGGAAUGGAGGAGUCAAAAGUCGAUGCAGCAUUAGUCAUAUGUGAUGUUGACCCUUUACCUGUGUACCACUAGUGUCGAGAGAGUCUGUAAGAGAGGUCUCUGAAAAAGCUUCAAUGGGACCACCAUCUUUAGCCUUUUUAGCAACUUACCAAGUUUAUAACAUUUCUUGGCUGUGUGAUUAUCUUUUCGACACCAUUGACAUGCAACAGCAGCAGAUUUGGAAGAGUUGCAACGGUCCACUUUGGGAGAGGUGUAAUGUUUGUUUCGACUAGAAGAAAUGGUGGAAGAGCCACGGUUAGAAAUGAGGGCAAAUUGCUGUUGAGCUUCACCAUGAAUGGAUUGAGAGAAGAGCUCAUGGCUAAGUGCUUGCGGGGACCAUGUUGGCGAAGGAAGGCAGUGGACGUUGUGACAGUAUAGUGGUGGAAAAAAAUUUAAAAUCAGGGCUAAGAUCCCCAAGAAACCAAUGUACUAUAACUAUAUCAUCAAGAAACUUUCCAAUGGCAAUAAAUUUAUCACAGAGAAAACGAAAAGAGUGAGUAUAUUCAGUCACACUACGAGAGCCAUGCUGGAGCAAUUGAAGUUUGUCUAGCUGAAUCUCACGUGUCUUGGAGCUGUGAGAAUAUGACGUUUCGAGGGUCAACCAAGCAUAACUGGAAAUAGCACAAUUGACAAUCUCGGCCAUACAGUCCUCGGACAUGGGAAGCAUAAAUGAGGCUAAGCAGCAUACGAUCUUGAGUACGCCAUUUCUUGUAGGCCUGAUUUGGAACCUAGCCAAUACCUUCGAUAAUAACAGGGGAAGGUGUAAUGGAUGAUCCGUCUAAAAAAUCUUAGGGACUGAAUUAUUAAAUCUGAAACUUAAAGGCCCAAAUCUCAAUAUAACUUAAAGGUUAGGGACUGAAACCUUAAAUUUAUAACCCUAACCCUAAUUGCAACCAGGGGCCUCAACUUAUCUAAUUUACAGAAGAGGCCCUCGUCCCAAAAUUCAGCCAAAAAACCAGAAAACCCUAAAAGAAAAAUUUUUCUUCUUUUUGGCGCCCGUCGGCGCCGCCUGAAGCAAUGGCGCCGGCGUGGGCGCCGCAGCAUCUGUGGCGGCAAGGUCGUCGGCGAAUUCAAUUUUUUUUUUUUUUUAAAUCUGUACUAAAAUCUGAAUUCCAAAUCUGAAUUUUCUAAACUGAAUCAAUCCGAAUGAAAAUAACAAAAUUAUACCGCAAAAAUUUUCAAAUUUAACAAAACAUAUAAUCAAAAAUUGUUAAAUCUGAAAAUUUCAAAAUAUAUUGCAAGAACCAAACUAAAACCUUUAAUUCUCAAUGAUUCAACAUGAAGAGGCUCUGAUACCACUUGUUGGAUAAUUUAGUUCUUUAAAUUACCAGAUCUUUCAUGUUAAAUCAUCAAGAAAUAUAAGAAUUAAAACGGAAACAUACCUGAAUCAGACAUGGUUAAUACAAUAGGAAUUUCGCGAAAUGGUCUUCCAAAUCUACACGCAGUCUCCUUUUCUUCUCUGUGAUGGGAUGCAGUAGAAAAUGAAUAAUACGUUGCCUGUGAUCUGGAGACCAAAACUUAUUUAUAUAGGGAUGCCCUUUGACCUAAUUCGGCCCAUCAUAGAAUUAGGAUUUGGGCUCGGUCUCUACACAUAUGUAAACCCAUACUUUAAUUGGAUACAUUAAAGCCAAAAAUCGAAGCCUUUUUUAGAUCACUUUAAUUGGGUUCAACCGAAUUCGAUAGCCUAUAAUUUAACGCACAAUUAUUCACACAUACAAGUCCAUAUUUAAUUAAAAAUCCUUACAAAAAAAUCCAACUAAAAUGAGAGAUCAUCAAUCAAGACAUAAUAACAUUUAAAUCUUGACGGAGAUGUAAUUGUAGACGAACCCCACAAGUCAUGAUGAUGUCUUUCAAAUAAAAAAGAGCAAUGUCAAUCUAAAUUAGAAAAAACCAAAACAAGGAUCAAUAUUAAACUCGUUCUUAUUAGAAAAUAAAAUAGCACCAUGCUUAUGUAAAGAUGACAAAAUCCUAAUAGAAGGAAGUCCUAAACGUGCAUGCCAAAUGACAGAGGUGGCACAAUUAUAACAAAGAGCAGCAGAAGACAAAAAGUUUGCAUGGGCAUGAUCAAGCACAUGGAGGCCUUUUUCACAUCAAUCGAUUCCCACCACCGCUCUUUUUGCCAGAGCCUGUAUAACAAAGCCAGUAGAAGAAAAUGUUAUUGGAAAAUUGUUCUCUUGAGUAAACUUAAUGAUGAAAAUAAGAUUUUUGGUAAUGCCAGGAACAAGAAGAACAUUAGUCAUAGGUAACGAAUGGGAAGCAACAAUAGACCAAAUAGAAUCAACAAGAGAUAUAGGUAAAGAAUGACCAUUACCAACAAACACCUUUUCAAUACCAUUGUAAGGAAUGGAGGAGUCAAAAGUCGAUGCAGCAUUAGUCAUAUGUGAUGUUGACCCUUUACCUGUGUACCACUAGUGUCGAGAGAGUGUGUAAGAGAGGUCUCUGAAAAAGCUUCAAUGGGACCACCAUCUUUAGCCUUUUUAGCAACUUACCAAGUUUAUAACAUUUCUUGGCUGUGUGAUUAUCUUUUCGACACCAUUGACAUGCAACAGCAGCAGAUUUGGAAGAGUUACAACGGUCCACUUUGGGAGAGAUGUAAUGUUUGUUUCGACUAGAAGAAAUGGUGGAAGAGCCACGGUUAGAAAUGAGGGCAAAUUGCUGUUGAGCUUCACCAUGAAUGGAUUGAGAGAAGAGCUCAUGGCUAAGUGCUUGCGGGGACCAUGUUGGCGAAGGAAGGCAGUGGACGUUGUGACAGUAUAGUGGUGGAAAAAAAUUUAAAAUCAGGGCUAAGAUCCCCAAGAAACCAAUGUACUAUAACUAUAUCAUCAAGAAACUUUCCAAUGGCAAUAAAUUUAUCACAGAGAAAACGAAAAGAGUGAGUAUAUUCAGUCACACUACGAGAGCCAUGCUGGAGCAAUUGAAGUUUGUCUAGCUGAAUCUCACGUGUCUUGGAGCUGUGAGAAUAUGACGUUUCGAGGGUCAACCAAGCAUAACUGGAAAUAGCACAAUUGACAAUCUCGGCCAUACAGUCCUCGGACAUGGGAAGCAUAAAUGAGGCUAAGCAACAUACGAUCUUGAGUACGCCAUUUCUUGUAGGCCUGAUUUGGAACCUAGCCAAUACCUUCGAUAAUAACAGGAGAAGGUGUAAUGGAUGAUCCGUCUAAGAAGCCCACAAGAUCUUGGCUUUCAAGAAGGGAAACAAACUGAUUGCGCCACAAAAGAAAAUUGGACGUAGUGAGUUUGAUGGUCACUAUAUGGAUCGUCGUAUUGAGUGGAAGCAUACUAGAACUAGAGCUAGAAUCAGCCAUGGAAAAAAAAAAAAAAAAGGUGUGAACCAUGGAGCACUGAUACAAUGAAAAAGAAUCUCUCAAUGUUAUUAAUGAAUACAUAGGUAGUGUAUUUAUACAUAAAAUACAGUAUGCAUCACUUUGAGCUCCAAUUUCCCACUGGAGCAUCACUUUUGGCAAAUAAAUAUAUAAUUUCGAUAUUCUCACGAAGGAGAGGCAAAUCAAUCUUGACCUUCAAAAAAAAAAAAACAAAUGUAUCCCACUCAAAAUUUAUGUCAAAAUCAGUCCUUCAAUCCAUUUUUUCCAACAUCAACCAUCCAAUCUUCACUAUGUUCAUAGACAAGCAGUUAACUGUGUUUGCCUCUAAUAUAUCCUUCUGUGCAUCGGGAAGCGUAAAAAAGGACCACUUGCCAAUGCAAAACUAAAGAAAAUGGAAAGAAGAAGUUGUCUUAAUAAUAAUAAGUUGUGUGUUUAAUUCACUCGUAAAUGAGUAUUAAUUAUUUUUUCUAAAAAUUGUAAAAGAAAUAGUAUACAUUAUUUUUUAACAUUAGAAUCUAACUCGGCAAUUUUCGUUGUACGAGAUUCCUGAGAAAUAGGAUCAAUUUGAUCAAACAAUUUAUUGAUAAAAGCAAUAAAACCAACUUUGCCAUAACCCUUUCCAAACAAGAAAGGUUAAAUGCAACAUGAUAUUAAGGCAAUAAGAGUAAUCAAAGUUCGUCAUGCGAAUCUAAUUGAUCAGAAAAUGAAGGAAAUUCGAUUUCAGAACCACAUCUUUCAUGUGGGAAAACUGGACAUUUAAUGAAAUUGGAUGCUGAGGUAUUGACACACAGGUAAACUUGGAAUAGCUGAUUAUUCCCUGAUGAAUCCACAUUGCAUUCUAUGGACGGAGCAUACCCGAUGCCUUCUUCAAUUUUAUAUCAUCAAGAAACUUUCCAAUGGCAAUAAAUUUAUCACAGAGAAAACGAAAAGAGUGAGUAUAUUCAGUCACACUACGAGAGCCAUGCUGGAGCAAUUGAAGUUUGUCUAGCUAAAUCUCACGUGUCUUGGAGCUGUGAGAAUAUGACGUUUCGAGGGUCAACCAAGCAUAACUGGAAAUAGCACAAUUGACAACCUCGGCCAUACAGUCCUCGGACAUGGGAAGCAUAAAUGAGGCUAAGCAGCAUACGAUCUUGAGUACGCCAUUUCUUGUAGGCCUGAUUUGGAACCUAGCCAAUACCUUCGAUAAUAACAGGGGAAGGUGUAAUGGAUGAUCCGUCUAAAAAGCCCACGAGAUCUUGGCUUUCAAGAAGGGAAACAAACUGAUUGCGCCACAAAAGAAAAUUGGACGUAGUGAGUUUGAUGGUCACUAUAUGGAUCGUCGUAUUGAGUGGAAGCAUACUAGAACUAGAGCUAGAAUCAGCCAUGGAAAGAAAAAGGUGUGAACCAUGGAGCACUGAUACAAUGAAAAGGAAUCUCUCAAUGUUAUUAAUGAAUACAUUGGUAGUGUAUCUAUACAUAAAGUACAGUAUGUGAUAAAUAUUAAAGAUAAAUAUAAACUAUUUACAUGAUAAAUACAAAAUAAGUAAGAACCUAAUCUAGUUUGUAUUAUGAAUAAAAAUAGAAUAAACUAAACUGAAUAGGAGUCUGUAGUUGGAGGCCAUAGAGAUUGGUAUGCUAAGAUUAAGGUAAUACUUUCCGAUAUUCAUCAAUGGAUUUUCCUCCAAUAGAUUCUCCUCCAAUACCCAUUCAUGAAGAUUUAGUAUUUCAGCAAAUGUAACAACAAGGUUUGGUCUUAUUGCUGAAAGGAGGAUUGGUCAACUUAGGUAUCAAGUUGCUACUACUGUAGCUAAAGCUGAUUAGGGUGCUUGGAGUAAUGUCAAAAGGAUGCGGAUUUUAAUUUUUUAGCGUCUUUUGAUUGUGUCUGAAUAAGAUUUUUAUUCUUUGAAACAGAGUUCUUUUAAUUGCUAAAUAUUUCUUUUGAUUGGUGAAAUAUUUAUUUAAAAAAAUAGCUUCAAAACGACAAUGUGCAAAUGAACAUUGUUGAAAAGUAAUGAUGACAUGCAAAUGAAUGUUGUUGAAAAAUAACAAUAAUGUUCAGAUGCAUAUUGCUAAAACAUUAAUGACAAUGUGCAAAUGGACAUUGUUGAAAGGUAAUGGCAAGCUAAAAAUUAGUGACAACGCAUUUUGCAUCCUUUAGCAACAUGCAUUUUUUGUUGAUAUAUCCAUUUAUUCCACGUCAACAUCGAAUUCUGCAACAUAUAGCUGCACCUUGGUAACGAUCCACAGCAACACAUUUUGCCCGGUGUAAAAUGCUAUUUUCCUGUACUAACAUUUUAUCCCAUUAUGAUGUAUACCACAAAACAAAUAUUAUUUCCCUAAUGUGUGUCCAUAUUAUAUCAUCUGUCACAAAAAAUAAUUUUAUUAAUUAUAGUAAAAAUAGAACAAGUAAUCUAAAAUUGCAGGAAAUAAUAAAAGAGUGAAUGAAUUUUCAACCAAGGCCUGUGUAAAAACAAUUUCCUUAAAACAGAUUCGUCCCUCAUUGUAGGUGUUUGAGGUUUAAUUUGAGCAUCAGCUACUCAAGAUACAAUAGAAAAACAGUAGAGUUUGAGCACUACAAACACUACUCCGACGAUUUGACUCAGUAUUUUAACGCUAUCACCAAGAUCUUGACAGAAUGUAUAAUUAUGUAUGUAGAGAGAGAAAAAAAUUAUGCAGAGAAACGAGUUUUUUUCUGUGCCUGCAAGGAAGGAAGAUAACUAGAUAAAUAAGUUGCAAAUGAGAAUUAACAGGCUAGGAGUUAUUUCAUUAACCACCAUUAACCUGGCUGUUAAUAUCUCCAUUAACACAAACAUGAUCAUAUGGGUUUCAGGAGUUAAAAGAAUUUGGAAUUUUUUUAUUGGAAAAAUAAUAAAAUAAAGGCAAAACAUUGACCCUCCUAAGGAGCUAAUUUUUGUUUCAUUCGGUUUAGUAUUCGUGUACGCAGAUUGUACCCACACACAAGUUCAAGGUCCAAAGUCUAUUUCGGUCCGUGAUUUAUGCCGUCGUACAUGCAUAUGGAAAGAGCCUUUGUACUACACAUUAUUCCACCAAUCCAAAGUAUAAUCAUAUUUAAAGUGGUCAGUGCAUUUAUCAAUUUUUCUAUGUGGGAUAACUUUAAAUUAGUUUCCCUUCUAAUACAAAAUCUCAUCCAAUGCAUCACUUUGAGCUCCAAUUUCCCACCGGAGCAUCACUUUUGGCAAGUAAAUAAAUGAUUUCGAUAUUCUCAUGGAAGAGAACGCAAAUCAAUCUUGAUCUUCCAAAAUAAACAAAUGCGUCCUACUCAAAAUUUAUGCCAAAGUGAGUCCUUUAAUCCAUUUUUUCCAACACCAACCAUCCAACCUUCACAAUGUUCAUAGAAAAGCAGUUAACUGUGUUAGCCUCUAAUAUAUCUUUCCGCGCAUAGGGAAGCGUAUAAAAGGACCACUUGCCGAUACAAAACUAAAGAAAAUGGAAAGAAGAAGGAAGUUGUCUUUUCUUGUAUUAUUGAAAUGUUUUAAUUAAAAAUUAUAAAAAAAAUAAAAUACGUUGUGUGUUUAAUUUACUCGUAAAUGAGUAUUAAUUAUUUUUUCUAAAAAUUGUAAAAGAAAUGGUAUACAUUAUUUUUUAACAUUAGAAUCUAACUCGGCAAUUUUCGUUGUACGAGAUUCCUGAGAACUAGGAUCAAUUUGAUCAAACAAUUUAUUGAUAAAAGCAAUAAAACCAACUUUGCAAUAACCCUUUACAAAUAAGAAAGGUUAAAUUCAACAUGAUAUUAAGGCAAUAAGAGUAAUCAAAGUUCGUUAUGCGAAUCUAAUUGAUCAGAAAAUGAAGGAAAUUCGAUUUCAGAACCACAUCUUUCAUGUGGGAAAACUGGACAUUUAAUAAAAUUGGAUGCAGGUAAACUUGGAAUAGCUGAUUAUUCCCUGAUGAAUCCACAUUGCAUUCUAUGGACGGAGCAUACCCGAUGCCUUCUUCAAUUGCUUGCUUUACACUCUCUAAACUGUAGAAUUUUCCAGGUUGGAUUCCUACGACAAAAUCUCACUUGAGUUAAUCUUGUUUAGAACGUCGCCUAAAUUUGGUUCGAUUACAUUUUGAGCCUUGUAACGUACCUGCAUUUUUAAGGACUUGUAGCAAAUUGGCUUUCUUCUUGAGAUCAAGAGCUGAUUGGAAGUACGUGUGUUGAUCAAGGGUGGUACAUGUUCCGUGUUUAUCCCCUUCAUG